GAUGAACGCUGGCGGCGUGCCUAAUACAUGCAAGUCGAGCGAACAGACGAGGAGCUUGCUCCUCUGACGUUAGCGGCGGACGGGUGAGUAACACGUGGAUAACCUACCUAUAAGACUGGGAUAACUUCGGGAAACCGGAGCUAAUACCGGAUAAUAUAUUGAACCGCAUGGUUCAAUAGUGAAAGACGGUUUUGCUGUCACUUAUAGAUGGAUCCGCGCCGUAUUAGCUAGUUGGUAAGGUAACGGCUUACCAAGGCAACGAUGCGUAGCCGACCUGAGAGGGUGAUCGGCCACACUGGAACUGAGACACGGUCCAGACUCCUACGGGAGGCAGCAGUAGGGAAUCUUCCGCAAUGGGCGAAAGCUUGACGGAGCAACGCCGCGUGAGUGAUGAAGGUCUUCGGAUCGUAAAACUCUGUUAUUAGGGAAGAACGAAUGUGUAAGUAACUAUGCACGUCUUGACGGUACCUAAUCAGAAAGCCACGGCUAACUACGUG
rnacentral:rRNA from 1 species